rnacentral:rRNA from 1 species
UAGGGAAUAUUGGGCAAUGGAGGCAACUCUGACCCAGCCAUGCCGCGUGCAGGAAGAAGGCGCUCAGCGUUGUAAACUGCUUUUAUCGGGGAAGAAACGACCCUUGCGAGGGGCAUUGACGGUACCCGAUGAAUAAGCACCGGCUAACUCCGUGCCAGCAGCCGCGGUAAUACGGAGGGUGCAAGCGUUGUCCGGAUUUAUUGGGUUUAAAGGGUGCGCAGGCGGGAAGGUUAGUUCGUUGUGAAAGACGAUCGCUCAACGAUUGCAGUGCCAUGAAUACUGCCUUUCUUGAAUCUGGUUGAGGCCGGUGGAAUUGACCGUGUAGCGGUGAAAUGCAUAGAUAUGGUCAAGAACUCCAAUUGCGAAGGCAGCCGGCUGGGCCAGUAUUGACGCUCAGGCACGAGAGUGCGGGGAUCAAACA